GCUGUUAGCACCACCAAUGAUCCUGUGAGUGUAAAGGAGUGACUGUGCCCUGGGGGCCUAUGCUGGAGUGGCCCACCUACCAGCACUCAGCAUGGCGUCUGAUACUCCUGAGUCCUUGAUGGCCCUCUGCACUGACUUCUGCCUGCGCAACCUGGAUGGCACCCUGGGCUACCUACUGGACAAGGAGACUCUGCGACUACAUCCAGAUAUUUUCCUACCCAGCGAGAUCUGUGACCGGCUUGUCAACGAGUAUGUGGAACUGGUCAAUGCCGCCUGCAACUUUGAGCCACACGAGAGCUUCUUCAGCCUCUUCUCAGAUCCCCGAAGCACCCGCCUUACCCGGAUCCACCUCCGAGAGGACCUGGUACAGGAUCAGGACCUGGAGGCCAUUCGUAAACAGGACCUGGUCGAGCUGUACCUGACCAAUUGUGAGAAGCUGUCCGCCAAGAGCCUGCAGACGCUGAGGAGCUUCAGCCACACCCUGGUUUCCCUGAGCCUCUUUGGCUGUGCAAACAUUUUCUAUGAGGAAGAGAACCCAGGGGGCUGUGAGGACGAGUGCCUCGUCAACCCCACCUGCCAAGUGCUGGUCAAGGACUUCACCUUUGAAGGCUUUAGUCGCCUACGCUUCCUCAAUUUGGGCCGAAUGAUCGACGGGGUCCCUGUGGAGUCCCUACUGCGGCCGCUCAGCUCGCUGGCUGCCUUGGACCUCUCAGGCAUCCAGACGAGUGAUGCCGCCUUCCUAACCCAGUGGAAAGACAGCCUGGUGUCUCUCGUGCUCUACAACAUGGACCUGUCAGAUGACCACAUUCGGGUCAUUGUUCAGCUACACAAGCUGCGACACCUCGACAUCUCCCGGGACCGCCUCUCUAGCUACUACAAGUUCAAGCUGACUCGCAAGGUGCUGAGCCUCUUCGUGCAGAAACUGGGGAACCUAAUGUCUCUGGACAUAUCUGGACACAUGAUCCUGGAAAACUGUAGCAUCUCCAAGAUGGAAGAGGAAGCAGGGCACACCAGCAUUGAGCCUUCCAAGAGCAGCAUCAUGCCUUUCCGGGCUCUGAAAAGGCCACUGCAGUUCCUCGGGCUUUUCGAGACCUCCCUGUGCCGCCUCACCCACAUUCCAGCCUACAAAGUCAGUGGUGACAAAGACGAGGAGCAGGUGCUGAAUGCUAUCGAGGCCUACACGGAGCACCGGCCGGAGAUCACCUCUAGGGCCAUCAACCUGCUUUUUGACAUUGCGCGCAUUGAGCGCUGCAACCAGCUGCUCCGGGCCCUGAAGCUGGUCAUCACAGCCCUCAAAUGCCACAAGUACGACAAGAACAUUCAAGUGACAGGCAGCGCAGCCCUCUUCUACCUGACCAAUUCCGAGUACCGUUCUGAGCAAAGUGUCAAGCUGCGCCGGCAAGUCAUCCAGGUGGUGCUGAAUGGCAUGGAAUCCUACCAGGAGGUGACGGUCCAGCGGAACUGCUGCCUGACCCUGUGCAACUUCAGCAUCCCUGAGGAGCUGGAGUUCCAGUAUCGUCGGGUCAACGAGCUCCUACUCAGCAUCCUCAACCCCACACGGCAGGAUGAGUCUAUCCAGCGCAUCGCCGUGCACCUGUGCAAUGCCCUGGUCUGCCAGGUGGACAAUGACCACAAGGAGGCCGUGGGCAAGAUGGGCUUUGUUGUGACCAUGCUGAAGCUGAUUCAGAAGAAACUUCUGGACAAGAUAUGUGACCAGGUGAUGGAAUUCUCCUGGAGUGCCCUGUGGAACAUCACGGAUGAGACACCGGACAAUUGCGAGAUGUUCCUCAACUUCAAUGGCAUGAAGCUCUUCUUAGACUGCCUGAAGGAAUUCCCAGAGAAGCAGGAACUGCAUCGGAAUAUGCUGGGACUCUUGGGGAACGUGGCAGAGGUGAAGGAGUUGCGGCCCCAGCUGAUGACUUCCCAAUUCAUUAGUGUCUUCAGCAACCUACUGGAGAGCAAAGCUGAUGGGAUCGAGGUGUCCUACAAUGCCUGCGGAGUCCUCUCCCACAUCAUGUUUGAUGGACCUGAGGCCUGGGGCAUCUGUGAGCCCCAGAGGGGGGAGGUGGAGGAGCGCAUGUGGGCAGCCAUCCAGAGCUGGGACAUCAACUCACGGAGAAAUAUUAACUACAGGUCUUUUGAGCCAAUUCUCCGCCUCCUUCCCCAAGGCAUCUCUCCUGUCAGCCAGCACUGGGCCACCUGGGCCCUGUACAACCUUGUUUCUGUCUACCCGGACAAAUACUGCCCUCUGUUGAUCAAAGAAGGAGGAAUGCCACUUCUGAGGGAUAUGAUCAAGAUGGCGACUGCACGGCAAGAGACCAAGGAAAUGGCCCGCAAGGUGAUCGAGCACUGCAGUAACUUUAAAGAGGAGAACAUGGACACUUCCAGAUAGAUACCUCCGCCCCACAACCACUGCUGCUCUGGACCACAAGGAUGGGAGGAAGCGCUGUCAUGCAGCCUAGCUGGCAGACCCCACCAGGGAGCCUUCCACUGGAUGAAAGGACACGGGGACUUUUGCACAACCGACGCUUUUCCUUAACAUUACCCUGAGCCCAGAUAUUGAGCAUACAGCCAACAGCUGGACCAACAGGGGCCCCCACCAGGAGGCUCAGCUUGACAGUGGAAACAGACUAAAUAUGAGUUACCAGCAGCCUGGAAGCUGGCACAGCACCGGACUGGAACACAUGAAGUCCUUACUAAGGUUGAUCCCUGACCCCACUAUAGUGAUGCUCUAAUUUUCUGUCUCUCACACAUCAGGAAAAGGGCAUGCAGAGAAGGAACCUGUGGCUGAUGGGAGUGCACAGGGGUGACUAGCGACAGGGGGCGGAGUUGAGGGACAGCAUGGUGUUCCCCAUACUGUUGGGAGGCUUCUUACAAGAGGAGACAUGAGCAAGAUCCAGCAAAAUGAACAGCCAACCCAGCCCAGUCCUGGGGGCCUAGAAGCCUGUAGGACAGAGGGCCCCCUGGGAGCAGGACCAUGAAGGGAGAGGCAUGUGGCAGUCUGCGUGGCUGCAGCUGAGUGAGGGACAGGGACACAAGCAUGGGGGAUACACCGUGGAACCAAAAGGUAAGGUGGGCAGACAGGUAUAUAUCCUUUGUUCCAGUGUUACCGCCAAUGGUGCCUUUGAGGCUGCUCCCAGUGGGGAAGGGCUGUUCCCCAAAGAAUCAUCUGGGUGCUGGUACCAGAUCUAAAGGGAACAUUGCUACACUCUGGGCGGUUGUGUGCCCAGUGCCAAAGUACCUCUGACUAAAUCAUAGCCAGAUUUUUCUGAUCCUUCUCAACUAAGCCUCAGCCCUGGUCUAUAAGAACUGUAGGCCGCCAGGACCAGAUGGUGGUCCACCUUGUAGAGUGCACACAUUACAGUGCACAAGGACUCAGGUUCAAGUCUCCAGUCCCCACCUGCAGGGGAGAAGCUUCAUGACUGGUGAAGCAGUGCUGCUUCUCCAUGUCCUCAUUCCUUCUCAAUUUCUCUGUCUCUAUCCAAAGCAAUAGAAAAGAAUUAAUUAAAAAAAAAAAAAAAACAACAAACUAUAGCCCCGGGAAGUGACUCAGUGGACAAGUUGGGCUCUCCAACGUGAGGCCCUAAAUUCAGUCCCCGGCAUCAUGUAUACUGAAGUGAUACUUGGUGUUCUCUCCCCUUCUGUCACCACCUAUUAAUAGACAAAUGCAAAACAAACAAACAAAAUAGCCCUCACCUGAAUAGUACAUGUCAUAUGCCUUGUGUGUGGCCCAGGUUUGAGCCCCAGAGUCACAUGGGAGAUGCUGAGGCACUGUAGGAAGCUCUGUUACUGCAGUCUCAAUCUCUUCCCUACCUACAUACAUAGUUUAAAGUUAAAGUUGCAAUCUAGGGGCUGGGGAGACAGGAUAAUGAUUAUGCAAAGGACUCUCAUGCCAGAGGCUCCAAGUUCCAAGGUUCAGUUCUCAGCACUACUAUAAGCCAGAGUUGAGCAGUGUGCUCUGGUGUCUCUCUCCAAUCUCUGUAUCUCUGUCACUAAAAUAAAAUAUUUUUUCAGUAAUUGCAACUGGGGGUGGGUGGUCAAGGGGUGGCACACCUGAUUAAGCACACAUAGUAUGAAGCACAAGGACCCAAGCAAGGAUCAGGGUUCAAGCCCUUGGCUCCACACCUGCAGGGGCGGAAGCUUCACAAGCAGAGAAGCAGGUCUUCAGGUGUCUAUCUUUCUCUCUCUCUAUUGCCCCCUCCUCUUUCAAUUUCUCUCUGUCCUAUCCAAUAAAAUUGAAAAAAAAAAAAAAAUGGCUGUCAGGAGCAAUGGAUUCAUAGUGCUGGCACCACACCCCAAAGAUAACCCUGAAAGCAAAAGCAAAAAAAAAAAAAAAUUGCAACUUGGCUGGCUGGUUUGCAUAUGCUAAAACAAAUGCUCUGGUUCUCUCACCCAUUAGUGAGUGAAUGAAUGAAUGAAUGAAUGAAUGAAU